rnacentral:rRNA from 1 species
GACGAACGCUGGUGGCGUGCCUAAUACAUGCAAGUCGAACGAACUCUGGUAUUGAUUGGUGCUUGCAUCAUGAUUUACAUUUGAGUGAGUGGCGAACUGGUGAGUAACACGUGGGAAACCUGCCCAGAAGCGGGGGAUAACACCUGGAAACAGAUGCUAAUACCGCAUAACAACUUGGACCGCAUGGUCCGAGCUUGAAAGAUGGCUUCGGCUAUCACUUUUGGAUGGUCCCGCGGCGUAUUAGCUAGAUGGUGGGGUAACGGCUCACCAUGGCAAUGAUACGUAGCCGACCUGAGAGGGUAAUCGGCCACAUUGGGACGAAGGCACGGCCCAAACUCCUACGGGAGGCAGCAGUAGGGAAUCUUCCACAAUGGACGAAAGUCUGAUGGAGCAACGCCGCGUGAGUGAAGAAGGGUUUCGGCUCGUAAAACUCUGUUGUUAAAGAAGAACAUAUCUGAGAGUAACUGUUCAGGUAUUGACGGUAUUUAACCAGAAAGCCACGGCUAACUACGUGCCAGCCGCCGCCGUAA